GAUCAUGGCUCAGAUUGAACGCUGGCGGCAGGCCUAACACAUGCAAGUCGAGCGGUAGCGGGAAGAGCUUGCUCUUUGCCGACGAGCGGCGGACGGGUGCGUAACACGUAGGAAUCUGCCCGGUAGUGGGGGAUAGCCCGGAGAAAUCCGGAUUAAUACCGCAUACGCCCUAAGGGGGAAAGCAGGGGAUCUUCGGACCUUGCGCUAUCGGAUGAGCCUGCGUCGGAUUAGCUUGUUGGUGGGGUAAAGGCCUACCAAGGCGACGAUCCGUAGCUGGUCUGAGAGGAUGAUCAGCCACACUGGGACUGAGACACGGCCCAGACUCCUACGGGAGG
rnacentral:rRNA from 1 species